AUUGAACGCUGGCGGCAGGCCUAACACAUGCAAGUCGAGCGGUAGCACAGGGAGCUUGCUCCUGGGUGACGAGCGGCGGACGGGUGAGUAAUGUCUGGGGAUCUGCCUGAUGGAGGGGGGUAACUACUGGAAACGGUAGCUAAUACCGCAUAACGUCGCAAGACCAAAGAGGGGGACCUUCGGGCCUCUUGCCAUCAGAUGAACCCAGAUGGGAUUAGCUAGUAGGUGGGGUAAUGGCUCACCUAGGCGACGAUCCCUAGCUGGUCUGAGAGGAUGACAAGGCACACUGGAACUGAGACACGGUCCAGACUCCUACGGGAGGCAGCAGUGGAGCAUAUUGCACAAUGGGCGCAAGCCUGAUGCAGCCAUGCCGCGUGUAUGAAGAAGGCCUUCGGGUUGUAAAGUACUUUCAGCGAGGAGGAAGGCAUUAAGGUUAAUAACCUUAGUGAUUGACGUUACUCGCAGAAGAAGCACCGGCUAACUCCGUGCCAGCCGCCGCAGUAA
rnacentral:rRNA from 1 species